rnacentral:rRNA from 1 species
UACGGGGGGGGCAAGCGUUGUUCGGAAUUACUGGGCGUAAAGGGCUCGUAGGCGGCCAACUAAGUCAGACGUGAAAUCCCCUCGGCUUAACCGGGGAACUGCGUCUGAUACUGGAUGGCUUGAGUUUGGGAGAGGGAUGCGGAAUUCCAGGUGUAGCGGUGAAAUGCGUAGAUAUCUGGAGGAACACCGGUGGCGAAGGCGGCAUCCUGGACCAACACGUGACGCUGAGGAGCGAAAGCCAGGGGAGCAA